rnacentral:misc_RNA from 1 species
UCUCCGUAGGUGAACCUGCGGAGGGAUCAUUACAGAGCUCAUGCCCUAGCGGGUAGAUCUCCCACCCUAUGUUAUUAUUACUUUGUUGCUUUGGCGGGCCGUUAGGCUCCGGCCCGACUACCGGCCCCGGCUGGUAAGCGCCCGCCAGAGGACCCAAAACCCUGAAUAUUAGUGUCGUCUGAGUACUAUAUAAUAGUUAAAACUUUCAACAACGGAUCUCUUGGUUCUG